AGAAAAUGCGCAUGUGCGAGGCACGAGGCGAUUCUCGCGUCACAGUGACCCCCAUCAUCGCCCAGGGGAUGGAUGGGUCCCUGAUGCUUGGAGAAGCAGGAGCCCUCCGUGGCAGUGCCUAGGCGUUAAGGCUCCAGCCUAACCUCUCCCGGGGGUCGACAGGAUGGUUUUUGGACGCCGGGAGUCGCGGAGGGCCGACCGGGAUGAAGAAACCUCAGAGUCUCGCUGUGUCACCCAGGCCGGAGUGCAGUGGUGCGAUGCACCAUCUCGGCUCUCGGCACGCUGCAACCUUCGCAACCUCUGCCUCCCGGGUUCAGUCGAUUCUCUUGACUCAGCCUCCUGCGAUUGGACUACAGGCAUGCACCACCAUACCCGGCUAAUUUUAGUAGAGACGGGGGUUUCACCAUGUUGGGCAGGCUUGUCUCGAACGCCUGACCUCGUGACUCCUGACCUGGUGAUCCGCCUGCCUCGGCCUCACGAAGUGUUGGGAUUACAGGCGUGAGCCACUGUGCCAGGCCAAGAGUAGUAAUCUUUUAACCGCUAUUGGCUUUUGGUAGCCUGCUUUCCAG
rnacentral:lncRNA from 10 species